AAGUUAACCUUAAUAAGAAAAAAAACAUUUGAAAAUUGUGCAAUCAAACAUAAUUGACAUUUCCUUUUGGUGAAAUUAAAUUUUUCCCGCUAACGUGUAGCUAAGUUCUAUUAAUCUAUCAACUUUUGCCCUUAAAUGGAAGGGAUGAACACCUUGCUAAUCGCAUGGAGGAUCACCACGCUUAUGGGAAAUUUGCAUGUAGUAUGAUAGGGAUACGUGUGUUACAGAUUACAGUUUUCUGAUUUCUAGGUCAAAGAAGUGUUUCAUGGAGAAAUCUGAUAAAUGCACACAUCAUCCUUGUGGGAUUGACGGCAAAAAGACUAAAGCUUGAGGGAGGUCACUUGCCAAAGGUUCAGCUUUAGAUUGUGGCUUGUUAAGAGGUUGUGGUUAUUGGAUGAGGAGGUGGUUGUGUCCUUUGUGAAGUGGCUUUCCAAUCUUCUGUUGAGAAGAUAGACAUCAGUGAAAUUGACAAGAUGGUCAUUGGCGUAGGUCACUUAAACUUUUUAUCUUUAUUUUCACUUAACAAUACUUUCCUCAUUCUAUUUUAUUUCUUUAGAUAUUACACAUUUAACCUAAACUACCACACUGUGUUUUGCUAGAUUCUCUUGAUCUUAAAUUUUGAGAUUUUCAAGCAUUGUACUUGAACCUAUUGAGUGUUACUAUAUGAAAUUGUGUUUAAAUCCUUA